rnacentral:rRNA from 1 species
CCUACGGGUGGCAGCAGUGGGGAAUAUUGCACAAUGGGCGCAAGCCUGAUGCAGCCAUGCCGCGUGUGUGAAGAAGGCCUUCGGGUUGUAAAGCACUUUCAGCGGGGAGGAAGGCGUUAAGGUUAAUAACCUUGGCGAUUGACGUUACCCGCAGAAGAAGCACCGGCUAACUCCGUGCCAGCAGCCGCGGUAAUACGGAGGGUGCAAGCGUUAAUCGGAAUUACUGGGCGUAAAGCGCACGCAGGCGGUCUGUCAAGUCGGAUGUGAAAUCCCCGGGCUCAACCUGGGAACUGCAUUCGAAACUGGCAGGCUAGAGUCUUGUAGAGGGGGUAGAAUUCCAGGUGUAGCGGUGAAAUGCGUAGAGAUCUGGAGGAAUACCGGUGGCGAAGGCGGCCCCCUGGACAAAGACUGACGCUCAGGUGCGAAAGCGUGGGGAGCAAACAGGAUUAGAUACCCGUGUAGUC